rnacentral:rRNA from 1 species
CAUGCCGCGUGCAGGAUGACGGUCCUAUGGAUUGUAAACUGCUUUUGUACGGGAAGAAAUGUAAUUACGUGUAAUUAUUUGACGGUACCGUAAGAAUAAGGAUCGGCUAACUCCGUGCCAGCAGGCGCGGUAAUACGGAGGAUCCGAGCGUUAUCCGGAAUUAUUGGGUUUAAAGGGUUCGUAGGCGGUUGAGUAAGUCAGUGGUGAAAUCUUAUAGCUUAACUAUAAAAUUGCCGUUGAUACUGCUUGACUUGAAUAGUAUGGAAGUAAUUAGAAUAUGUAGUGUAGCGGUGAAAUGCUUAGAUAUUACAUGGAAUACCAAUUGCGAAGGCAGAUUACUACGUACUUAUUGACGCUGAUGAACGAAAGCGUGGGUAGCGAACAGGAUUAGAUACCCUGGUAGUCCACGCCGUAAACGAUGGAUACUAGCUGUUCGGUUUUCGGACUGAGUGGCUAAGCGAAAGUGAUAAGUAUCCCACCUGGGGAGUACGUUCGCAAGAAUGAAACUCAAAGGAAUUGACGGGGGCCCGCACAAGCGGUGGAGCAUGUGGUUUAAUUCGAUGAUACGCGAGGAACCUUACCAAGGCUUAAAUGUAGAUUGACAGGUUUAGAGAUAGACUUUUCUUCGGACAAUUUACAAGGUGCUGCAUGGUUGUCGUCAGCUCGUGCCGUGAGGUGUCAGGUUAAGUCCUAUACCGAGCGCAACCCCUAUUGUUAGUUGCCAGCGGGUCAAGCCGGGAACUCUAACAAGACUGCCGGUGCAAACCGUGAGGAAGGUGGGGAUGACGUCAAAUCAUCACGGCCCUUACGUCUUGGGCUACACACGUGCUACAAUGGCCAGUACAGAAAGCAGCUACCAGGCAACUGGAUGCGAAUCUCAAAAACUGGUCUCAGUUCGGAUUGGAGUCUGCAACUCGACUCCAUGAAGCUGGAAUCGCUAGUAAUCGGAUAUCAGCCAUGAUCCGGUGAAUACGUUCCCGGGCCUUGUACACACCGCCCGUCAAGCCAUGGAAGCCGGGGGUACCUGAAGUCGGUCGCCGCAAGGAGCUGCCUA